rnacentral:rRNA from 1 species
GAUGAACGCUGGCGGCGUGCCUAAUACAUGCAAGUCGAGCGAACGGACGAGAAGCUUGCUUCUCUGAUGUUAGCGGCGGACGGGUGAGUAACACGUGGAUAACCUACCUAUAAGACUGGGAUAACUUCGGGAAACCGUAGCUAAUACCGGAUAAUAUUUUGAACCGCAUGGUUCAAAAGUGAAAGACGGUCUUGCUGUCACUUAUAGAUGGAUCCGCGCUGCAUUAGCUAGUUGGUAAGGUAACGGCUUACCAAGGCAACGAUGCAUAGCCGACCUGGGAGGGUGAUCGGCCACACUGGAACUGAGACACGGUCCAGACUCCUACGGGAGGCAGCAGUAGGGAAUCUUCCGCAAAGGGCGAAAGCCUGACGGAGCAACGCCGCGUGAGUGAUGAAGGUCUUCGGAUCGUAAAACUCUGUUAUUAGGGAAGAACAUAUGUGUAAGUAACUGUGCACAUCUUGACGGUACCUAAUCAGAAAGCCACGGCUAACUACGUG